rnacentral:rRNA from 1 species
UACGUAGGGUGCAAGCGUUAAUCGGAAUUACUGGGCGUAAAGCGUGCGCAGGCGGUUUUGUAAGUCUGUCGUGAAAUCCCCGGGCUCAACCUGGGAAUUCGCGAUGGAGACUGCAAGGCUAGAAUCUGGCAGAGGGGGGUAGAAUUCCACGUGUGAGCAGUGAAAUGCGUAGAGAUGUGGAGGAACACCGAUGGCGAAGGCAGCCCCCUGGGUCAAGAUUGACGCUCAUGCACGAAAGCGUGGGGAGCAAACGAGGAUUAGAGUACCCGUAGAUCAUACCAGUCC